UCCCUGGAGGACUAGUGGUUAGGCCACAGCACUCUCACUGCUGCAGCCCAGGUUCAAUUCCUGGCCAGGGAA
rnacentral:tRNA from 1 species